rnacentral:rRNA from 1 species
AGAGUUUGAUCCUGGCUCAGGAUGAACGCUAGCUACAGGCUUAACACAUGCAAGUCGAGGGGCAGCAUGACGAUAGCUUGCUAUUGUUGAUGGCGACCGGCGCACGGGUGAGUAACGCGUAUCCAACCUGCCCUUGUCCAUCGGAUAACCCGUCGAAAGGCGGCCUAACACGAUAUGCAGUUCUCCGCAGGCAUCUAACGAGAACGAAAUGUGAAGGAGAAGGAUGGGGAUGCGUCUGAUUAGCUUGUUGGCGGGGUAACGGCCCACCAAGGCGACGAUCAGUAGGGGUUCUGAGAGGAAGGUCCCCCACAUUGGAACUGAGACACGGUCCAAACUCCUACGGGAGGCAGCAGUGAGGAAUAUUGGUCAAUGGGCGGAAGCCUGAACCAGCCAUGCCGCGUGCGGGAAGGAGGCCCUAUGGGCUGUGAACCGCUUUUGCCUGGGGGCAAUAAGGGCGUCGCGCACGUCCGAUGAGAGUACCAGGCGAAUAAGCAUCGGCUAACUCCGUGCCAGCAGCCGCGGUAAUACGGGGGAUGCGAGCGUUAUCCGGAUUUAUUGGGUUUAAAGGGUGCGUAGGCGGACAGUUAAGUCAGCGGUCAAAACGGGCGGCUCAACCGCCUGCCGCCGUUGAAACUGGCAGUCUAGAGUGGGCGAGAAGUACGCGGAAUGCGCGGUGUAGCGGUGAAAUGCAUAGAUAUUGCGCAGAACUCCGAUUGCGAAGGCAGCGUACCGGCGCCCGACUGACGCUGAGGCACGAAAGCGUGGGGAUCGAACAGGAUUAGAUACCCUGGUAGUCCACGCAGUAAACGAUGGACACUAUCUGUUCGGGUCGAAUGGGAUCUGAGUGGCACAGCGAAAGCGUUAAGUGUCCCACCUGGGGAGUACGCCGGCAACGGUGAAACUCAAAGGAAUUGACGGGGGCCCGCACAAGCGGAGGAACAUGUGGUUUAAUUCGAUGAUACGCGAGGAACCUUACCCGGGCUCAAACGCACGACGGCGGCACGUGAAAGCGUGCUUACCUACGGGACGUUGUGCGAGGUGCUGCAUGGUUGUCGUCAGCUCGUGCCGUGAGGUGUCGGCUUAAGUGCCAUAACGAGCGCAACCCCCAUCCGCAGUUGCCAGCAGGUAAAGCUGGGGACUCUGCGGAGACUGCCGGCGCAAGCUGAGAGGAAGGCGGGGAUGACGUCAAAUCAGCACGGCCCUUACGUCCGGGGCGACACACGUGUUACAAUGGCAGGGACAGAGGGAAGCCACCGGGCGACCGGGCGCGGACCCCGAAACCCUGUCUCAGUUCGGAUCGGAGUCUGCAACUCGACUCCGUGAAGCUGGAUUCGCUAGUAAUCGCGCAUCAGCCAUGGCGCGGUGAAUACGUUCCCGGGCCUUGUACACACCGCCCGUCAAGCCAUGGAAGCCGCGGGCGCCUGAAGUCCGUGACCGAGAGGAGCGGCCUAGGGCGAAAGUGGUAACUGGGGCUAAGUCGUAACAAGGUAGCCGUACCGGAAGGUG